rnacentral:rRNA from 1 species
AACGAACGCUGGCGGCAGGCUUAACACAUGCAAGUCGAGCGCCCCGCAAGGGGAGCGGCAGACGGGUGCGUAACGCGUGGGAACGUACCUUUUGGUUCGGAACAACUCCGGGAAACUGGAGCUAAUACCGGAUAAGCCCUAACGGGGAAAGAUUUAUCGCCGAAAGAUCGGCCCGCGUCUGAUUAGCUAGUUGGUGAGGUAACGGCUCACCAAGGCGACGAUCAGUAGCUGGUCUGAGAGGAUGAUCAGCCACACUGGGACUGAGACACGGCCCAGACUCCUACGGGAGGAAGCAGUGGGGAAUAUUGGACAAUGGGCGCAAGCCUGAUCCAGCCAUGCCGCGUGAGUGAUGAAGGCCUUAGGGUUGUAAAGCUCUUUUGUCCGGGAAGAUAAUGACUGUACCGGAAGAAUAAGCCCCGGCUAACUUCGUG